rnacentral:rRNA from 1 species
AUUGAACGCUGGCGGCAGGCUUAACACAUACAAGUCGAACGAGUGGCGGACGGGUGAGUAAUGAUUGGGAAUCUAGCUUAGGGAGGGGGAUAGCUACGGGAAACUGUAGAUAAUACCGCAUAACAUGGGAUGAGGCCAAGUGGGAUUAGGUAGUUGGUGAGGUAGUGUCUCACCAAGCCGACGAAUUCUACCUGGUCUGAGCGGAUGACCAGCCACACUGGGACUGAGACACGGCCCAGACUCCUACGGGAGGCAGCAGUGGGGAAUAUUGCGCAAUGGGGGCAAACUGACGCAGCCAUGCCGCGUGAAUGAAGAAGGCCUGCGGUUUGGAAAGUUCUUUCGGUAGCGAGGCGUUAACUACAGAAGAAGCACCGGCUAACUCCGUGCCAGCAGCCGCGGUAAUAC